CCGGAAAAAAAAAAAAGGAAUCGUGGCGGCUUGCCGUUAUACUGCUUGUCAAACGUCGUCGCAUGCGCAAGCUGAGACGUAUGUAAGCUUGCUUCUCUGAUGUUAGCGGCGGACGGGUGAGUAACACGUGGAUAACCUACCUAUAAGACUGGGAUAACUUCGGGAAACCGGAGCUAAUACCGGAUAAUAUUUUGAACCGCAUGGUUCAAAAGUGAAAGACGGUCUUGCUGUCACUUAUAGAUGGAUCCGCGCUGCAUUAGCUAGUUGGUAAGGUAACGGCUUACCAAGGCAACGAUGCAUAGCCGACCUGAGAGGGUGAUCGGCCACACUGGAACUGAGACACGGUCCAGACUCCUACGGGAGGCAGCAGUAGGGAAUCUUCCGCAAUGGGCGAAAGCCUGACGGAGCAACGCCGCGUGAGUGAUGAAGGUCUUCGGAUCGUAAAACUCUGUUAUUAGGGAAGAACAUAUGUGUAAGUAACUGUGCACAUCUUGACGGUACCUAAUCAGAAAGCCACGGCUAACUACGUGCCAGCAGCCGCGGUAAUACGUAGGUGGCAAGCGUUAUCCGGAAUUAUUGGGCGUAAAGCGCGCGUAGGCGGUUUUUUAAGUCUGAUGUGAAAGCCCACGGCUCAACCGUGGAGGGUCAUUGGAAACUGGAAAACUUGAGUGCAGAAGAGGAAAGUGGAAUUCCAUGUGUAGCGGUGAAAUGCGCAGAGAUAUGGAGGAACACCAGUGGCGAAGGCGACUUUCUGGUCUGUAACUGACGCUGAUGUGCGAAAGCGUGGGGAUCAAACAGGAUUAGAUACCCUGGUAGUCCACGCCGUAAACGAUGAGUGCUAAGUGUUAGGGGGUUUCCGCCCCUUAGUGCUGCAGCUAACGCAUUAAGCACUCCGCCUGGGGAGUACGACCGCAAGGUUGAAACUCAAAGGAAUUGACGGGGACCCGCACAAGCGGUGGAGCAUGUGGUUUAAUUCGAAGCAACGCGAAGAACCUUACCAAAUCUUGACAUCCUUUGACAACUCUAGAGAUAGAGCCUUCCCCUUCGGGGGACAAAGUGACAGGUGGUGCAUGGUUGUCGUCAGCUCGUGUCGUGAGAUGUUGGGUUAAGUCCCGCAACGAGCGCAACCCUUAAGCUUAGUUGCCAUCAUUAAGUUGGGCACUCUAAGUUGACUGCCGGUGACAAACCGGAGGAAGGUGGGGAUGACGUCAAAUCAUCAUGCCCCUUAUGAUUUGGGCUACACACGUGCUACAAUGGACAAUACAAAGGGCAGCGAAACCGCGAGGUCAAGCAAAUCCCAUAAAGUUGUUCUCAGUUCGGAUUGUAGUCUGCAACUCGACUACAUGAAGCUGGAAUCGCUAGUAAUCGUAGAUCAGCAUGCUACGGUGAAUACGUUCCCGGGUCUUGUACACACCGCCCGUCACACCACGAGAGUUUGUAACACCCGAAGCCGGUGGAGUAACCUUUUAGGAGCUAGCCGUCGAAGGUGGGACAAAUGAUUGGGG
rnacentral:rRNA from 1 species